rnacentral:miRNA from 1 species
ACUAAUCACCUAGGGAACUUGUUAAAUUUCAGAUUCUGCUUCAGCAGUCCUGAGUGUCUGCAUUUCUAAUAAGCUCCUGGGUGAGACUGAU